rnacentral:tRNA from 2 species
GGCGGGGUAGAGCAGUUUGGUAGCUCGCAAGGCUCAUAACCUUGAGGUCACAGGUUCAAAUCCUGUCCCCGCAU